rnacentral:lncRNA from 13 species
CGUCGCCGGGCUCGCGGGCCGGUGGGAGGCGCGGCCUGCACGUGCGGGGAGCCUGGCGGGGGCCGGGAGGGCAGGGGGUCGGGCCGCUCGGGGGAGGCGCCCCGGGCCGCGCGGGGACCCUGCACUCCAAGGUGGCCGGAAAAGCUGCGGGAAGGCCCGGCCGGGGUCCGCUGUUCCGCGCCUGCUCGCUCAGGGUGCGCUCGGGGCGCCGCCUCCUUGCAGCCCUGCGGGGAGGUAGGAGAUGCCGCCUCCGGCUCCCGGCCCCAGGGCCCGCCCAGCCUGCCCAGGGGAGUUGCCCUCUCGGCGGCCGCGCGGCGUUGGCGCAGUCCUGCGCGCCCGGUCCAUCUCGACCCCCCACCCGUCACAAUCCCGCUCCUCGCCGCCCCACAGCGAUCCCUCUGUUUCUUCCCCCUCUGUCCUCCGACCAGGUGGUUUACUGUCAGCGGUGGAGAGCCACUCGCAAGAGGCACCUCCCACCUCCGGCUUCCCGCCUGCAGCCCGGGCGCGCCCAUCCCAACGCCGGCCCGACAGCUCUGCUCAAACGGUUGGCCCCGCGCGCACCUCCGCUCGCCGCGUGUCGACCCGAUUACUGCCCGUCGCGGAGAAGGCGCGCCCGCCCACCCCCUAGUCCCGACGUCUUGCUUUCCCUCCGGAACACUUCUCCAGGCACUCUGCACUCCAUCCUCACUCCCACUCCAGUCAGACCUGCCCGGCGCCCCGCCCCCCUUAGCUGCUGACAAAUCCCCCUCAAAGGUCUCGCCUGCACGCCGGUCUCCUUCGAAUCCAUCCUCCCCGCUCUGCCAGAACAGCCACCUGCAACCCCUGUUUGGCCCUGACUCAGCCCGGUCUAAUAGACGCCCUCGCCUGCCAUUUUCUACCCCACGCCUCCCGAGCUCGCCUCGGAGGCCGGAGCCCGCUGGGGCCACACUCUUGAAGGUCCUCAGGUCUUUGCAGCGCUUACGCCCUAUCCAGGGAAUUUUCCCCUCCCUCCCUUCUCCCCCUCCCCCCACCGGCUUCCUCUUACUCAUCCUCCAGACUCAAAUGUGA